GUCUUGAUGACUGUGGGACGUGUGUGAAGGAACGGGGAAAACGCGAUUGGAUGGUUAUACUUCGUUUUUUCUAUAAAAACCUUGCAUUUGAAUGUCCUCCUGGGUGAAGUUCAGUGGAUCAGGUGAAUGUUCGGAACAACCUGACCAAAGAACCAGGAAAUUCUAACCAGUUUCAGGACACUGUUGUUCAAAUCAUAAGCAAGAAGAAAAUUCUGAUGUUGUUACAGCAGGACACUUUCAAGACAUCAAAACUUCCUGAACAGCCCAGUCUCUAGGUUUCUGCUGAAAAGGCUGCCAUGACUCUGCAGAUUGCAGAGUGGAGGAGUGGGGACUUCAGCUGAAAUUGGCCAGCUCUGCGGAUUCUCAUCACUGGGCAAGAGACUGGCGCCAUUCCUCAGUCAGCUCUGAAGAGCUCUCCUCAUCGCUGAAGACCACAAGGUUGCACCCAUGGU